rnacentral:rRNA from 1 species
GACGGCCUAAUACCGUAUGACGUCGUUUGCCGACAUCGAAAAGACGACCAAAGGUUUGGCGGUGAUGGAUGGGGAUGCGUCUGAUUAGCUUGGUUGGCGGGUAACGGCCCACCAAGGCUACGAUCAGUAGGGGUUCUGAGAGGAAGGUCCCCCACAUUGGAACUGAGACACGGUCCAAACUCCUACGGGAGGCAGCAGUGAGGAAUAUUGGUCAAUGGGCGAGAGCCUGAACCAGCCAAGUAGCGUGCAGGAUGACGGCCCUAUGGGUUGUAAACUGCUUUUACGCGGGGAUAAAGUGCGUGACGUGUCGCGCAUCGCAGGUACCGCGUGAAUAAGGACCGGGCUAAUUCCCGUGCCAGCAGCCGCGGUAAAU